rnacentral:lncRNA from 1 species
GGUCCAUCUGCAUCAGCCUUAAUGUAUUCCAUUUUCAGAAGAGGUUCGUCUGUCUUACUUGAAGAAUUAAUAAUACAGAGAGGAUCUCCAUUUGAGUCAGUUAUUUCAGUGCAUCUCAUAAUGAUUUUUUUCAGAUAUGCUCCUGCAGUCAAUUCAUGAUUUCUGAUUUCAGUUUUGGUUCCAAGCUGUAAUACGUUUAGAAUGUGUAAUGGAUACCUCUCCUUCUGAAGUUGCUUCAUCAGAG